rnacentral:rRNA from 1 species
GAUGAACGCUGGCGGCGUGCCUAAUACAUGCAAGUCGAGCGAACAGACGAGGAGCUUGCUCCUCUGACGUUAGCGGCGGACGGGUGAGUAACACGUGGAUAACCUACCUAUAAGACUGGGAUAACUUCGGGAAACCGGAGCUAAUACCGGAUAAUAUAUUGAACCGCAUGGUUCAAUAGUGAAAGACGGUUUUGCUGUCACUUAUAGAUGGAUCCGCGCCGCAUUAGCUAGUUGGUAAGGUAACGGCUUACCAAGGCAACGAUGCGUAGCCGACCUGAGAGGGUGAUCGGCCACAUUGGAACUGGGACACGGUCCAGACUCCUACGGGAGGCAGCAGUAGGGAAUCUUCCGCAAAGGGCGAAAGCCUGACGGAGCAACGCCGCGUGAGUGAUGAAGGUCUUCGGAUCGUAAAACUCUGUUAUUAGGGAAGAACAAAUGUGUAAGUAACUAUGCACGUCUUGACGGUACCUAAUCAGAAAGCCACGGCUAACUACGUG